rnacentral:rRNA from 1 species
AUACGGAGGGCGCAAGCGUUAAUCGGAAUUACUGGGCGUAAAGCGCACGCAGGCGGUCAAUUAAGUCAGAUGUGAAAGCCCCGAGCUUAACUUGGGAAUUGCAUCUGAAACUGGUUGGCUAGAGUCUUGUAGAGGGGGGUAGAAUUCCACGUGUAGCGGUGAAAUGCGUAGAGAUGUGGAGGAAUACCGGUGGCGAAGGCGGCCCCCUGGACAAAGACUGACGCUCAGGUGCGAAAGCGUGGGGAGCAAACAGGAUUAGAUACCCUGGUAGUCCACGCUGUAAACGAUGUCGAUUUAGAGGUUGUGGUCUUGAACUGUGGCUUCUGGAGCUAACGCGUUAAAUCGACCGCCUGGGGAGUACGGCCGCAAGGUUAAAACUCAAAUGAAUUGACGGG